AGGAUGGGCCUCGGGCCGGCCCGGCCCUUGGGGAUGGCGGGGAAGGGCGCCCUGCGUCCGGCAGAGGAGGCGAGCAUCCCCGCUCAGGUGAUGAGGAACCCCUCGCGCACCCAGCGCAGAAGGCUGCUGCCGCCGGACGCCUCCAUUGUUUGACCACAACAAGGGCCGGAUUCUCACCCAGGAUCCUAAGGCCUUUGUAGUCCUUCAGCCACUGUGGCCCCUGCCUCUGCCUGUUCUUCUGGAAUGUCUUGGGGGUUUUGAUCCUGUCACUGUGACCUGCAAAUCCAAGAGACACAUCUUUGGAAGAUAAGAGAGCUUCUUCAAGACCAAAAAAGGAGACGGCAUGAUACCCAUGUAGGGAAUUCCCCAAAGCAGGGCUUGCCAUACCUGGACCCCGAGGAGCCUGCUUGCUGGAAAGGCUUUCCUGUCUGAUGUGCAAGAGGCAGAAUGCCAAACUGACUCUUCAAGGGGCAACUGCAGGGGCUCGAGACCA
rnacentral:sRNA from 1 species